rnacentral:lncRNA from 1 species
UUUAUUUCCAUUAUUUAUGUGUGUAUAACGAUUUGAGUUUCAUAAUCUAUUUGUUAAAUAUAUUAAUUAACCAAAAUGUUAAAACCAUAGAAUGCUUAUCACCAUAUAAUACAUUUUACUGCAACUUAAAUCAAUUAAACAAUAUCAUAUACCAUAUUACUUUUAUGCUUAACCCUUUUGAUCUACGACAAUUGAAAAACCGAAAAACAUUAAAAAACUUUGAAAAAUCAUGGAACAUCAAUGUUUAUUGCAUUAAUUGACUUAAUUUAUUUAAUGUGCUUAAUAUAUUGCUCAAAAGGUUAAAGUUUGGAAUGGGGCUGAAUGUACUGUGUACAUUGCUACUUCCUUCAAAAAUAUAAACACAUAUAUCCUAUUCCAUAGCCUUUUGGGUCAGCAAACACAUUUUCCAGCAGCUAGCACCUAGAUGAAUCAGAGAUUUCAUUUCCACCAUAUAUGAUAUAUUUUCUUCUCUAUUGCCUUCAACAUUGGUUCACCUCCUAGUUUGGAAAGAGAUCAUGUAAUAAAACAUUAGUUUAUUAAUUUGCUUACUUGUAUUGCUUUACCUCUUACUUUGACCUUUAUACCCUCCAUAUCAUUAUCAUAAUAAUAGCACCAANNNNNNNNNNNNNNNNNNNNNNNNNNNNNNNNNNNNNNNNNNNNNNUAGUAAUAGUAAGUUAAAUUUUUGGGUUUUGUGGCUUAUUAAGUUAUUAUAUAUGCUAACAUGCAAGUUACCACAUUGCUUACAUUGCAGGGUGUAUUAUUAAAAAGAAUAAAAGAGCAAGGUACCUUUGGGCGUGUUUGGCAAAAGUAGCUGUUAGCUGGAAGCGGGUAGCGGUUAGCUGGUAGCAGGUAGUUGGUAGCGGAAAGCUGUAGCUUUUAUUUGUUAUAUGAAUGUUUGGCAAAAGUAGCUGGAAGCUUUUGAAAUAUAUAAAAUUACAUAAAAGGACAAUUGAUUAAAAAUAAAAAAAUAUAUAAAUAUAUUUUUAAGGGUAAUUAUAGAAAUUGAUUUCAAAAGCUCUGGAGCGUUUUGUUAAAAGCUACAUGAAGUAGCUUUUAGAAUCGGAGCGUUUUGUUAAAACUAAAAGCUAAACGCUCGUACUACCAAACGAAGCUUUUUGUUUAAACUAAAGCGUUUUGUCAAAAGCUAAAAGCUAGAAGCUCCCAAACGCUUCCUAAAGCUCUGUGCCAAACACGCCCUUUAUAUCAAAGUCGUGUAUAUAGUACAUCCGUUAGAAGCGAUUAAAAGAACAAAUUAAAAACAACAUAUCAACUAAAAAUGUACUUAUAUUAAUAUUUGGUUCUAGUACAUUGGUUUUUCAAAUCAACAAUACUAUAUUAUGGUCUUUUUCCACGCAAACAACUAUUUUAUUUUUUUCUAACUAAACUAUAUGCUUUAAGUUUAUUUUCUCAUUAAAUCGUUGUAUUUUAAUUAUGUACUUAGAAAAACAUUACAUUUUAAAUUAAUUAUUUCAUGUCAAUAUAAUUUAGAAAAACAUACAUCAGCAAACAAUUCACUAAACCGGGAAGAGACUUGAUUUUGGAAGUGCAAUGCCUUAAUUCAAAAAAAAUGAAGUUCAAUUCCUUAAUAUAAAGAAAGAGAUUGAGACAAAAUACCCUUAUUCAUGUCAAGAACAUUGACUAAAUGAAAAGAUUAAUGAGAAAACCUGACCAAAAUCUAAAUGUGAUCCCAUAAUAGCAGAGAGAAAAACUUCUCUUAUAGAAAUAUCAUGAGGUCAAAACACCAUAGAUAUCGAGUUCAGAAAUGCUACCUGAGGUUAGAGCUUUGAAAUUUGAAAUCAAGGUCAAAUGAUAAGAGAACAUGCGCAUAUGCUAGAGGACUUUGUUGUUAAGGAGAGAUUGUGGUGGUGAACGAUGGUGAGAAGAAGCGAUAUGUGGUGAAGGUAGUAAAGAAGAUUUAGCCAAGACGGACUUCAUAGCUCAUCCUGUAGAAGACAAAUUUUUUUAUGAGAAGACAAAUCAAAGAAAUUGAACAAAACUUAUAACACCAAAGGAUAAAAUCAUUUGAUCGAACCAUAGACUAAGAAUCAGAUCACAAACAAGAACUUCUUCAUUGAUAGGAGGAUCAAAUGACCAAAUAAAUUGGGUAUUUCCACAACUCUAAACAUAUUAUGACCUGCAAACUGUUGGAUAGGAAGCACCAAAUCUACAUAAAAUGAUCAUGGAAACGAAAAUCAAAACAAUUAGAAAUGCAGCAGCACACAAUAAAAACAAAUAAAAAUCCUAGAUUAAGAAAGACAGAAAGAUACAUGGAAUGGGUCCAAAAGAAUGAUAGAAUCAUUGCUUACCUUCAAAUCGGAUCGAUAGUGAAAAUUAGGGCUUGAAAUCGGUGCAGGAUUUAAAAUCGUGGCAGCGUAUACUAAAAAAAAUAAAAUAUUCAACUCAUUUCAUGAUGAAAUUGAUUACAUUAUACAAUAAAUCUGUAUGCUUUUACCAAAAAUGUCGAAUAGCAAAGAUAGAUAUAAUGAUUACCUUUAAAUCGGUAUAGAGAGUGAGGAGUAUAUGUUUAACUCGUCGCAACUUCUAAAAUCAUUUAAACUCAGGUUCUAUAGUGAGGUUUAGAGCUUGUGGAUGUGUUUGAAAUGAGAGAUUCAUGUUACUAAAAAGAAUGAAACACCAGAAAUUGGAGAGUGGAAGUGAACAAAUCAACAGAGGUGUUGCAGGGAACGAAGGCUUGACAUGUGUAACGAUGACCACGAAAUUGAGUGGUCGUGGCGGUGGAGAGUGAGGGAGUCGUAUGGUUGGUUAAACGCCGCAUAUAGGGGAAGGAAGCGCGAUGCGAGAGACAGGUGCAAAUUACCGAAAUACUGGGAAUUUAAAGGGGCAACCUUUGGGAGAUAAAGAACCGAAAAG